AUCUUGGCUAUCUCGUCUCUCUUCUCUCCUCUCUUUUCUCUUCUUUCUUCUUUCUCUCUCAAACUCGAUUGGAAACCCUCACCCUCGAUCCCAAUUUGUUUGUCUCUUCUUUCACUCUCGAUACCUCUCAGUCUCGUUCCCUCUCAGUCGCAAUCCCUCUGGAUCUCGAUCGUCAGUUUCACUGUCGAUCUACAAACCCCUCUCAAUCGUCCCAUGCAUCAUUCCAAAUCAAAUUGGUGAGGUCGAAAUUGACACAGAAGGAAGAUUUCAGUUAAGUGACUACAGUUCCCUUUUUCUCUUCUGAACUCGUCAAUGGCGGCUUCCGUUCUUCUCAAUCAUGUUUUGCAAAGUAGUAGCUCAAUCUCUCCGUCAGGUCUCAUGGUUUCAGAUCCAAUUAUGUUUUGAGUUUCGGACUUGAUUCUUGUUUAUCACUUAUCAGACUUGUUAUUGUAAAAACUCUUGUUGAUUAGAAGUGAUGAAAUGCCUUUUAGAUUCUUCGUGGAGUUGUAAGAUGAGAAAUUUCAUGGGUACAAACUAUAUUGAAAGUGACUUGUAUCUUUUUGCUCAUGUUUCUUUUUUGAAUCUCUGAUUUUGGUUUCUCAGAGAUUGCUUGAUUAGAAAGGAUGUGUAAUUUGGGUCACCAGUCUUAGACUCUUAGUGGUUCAGGUAAGUGCCAGCAAUAAUCGUUAGAAACAGCGACUAGUUUGGUCUAUGUCUAUGUGAAAGUCUAAUCUUUCGUUUUGUAGGGAAAAGCACUUUGGUUUGUUCAUUGAACAAAAGGGGAAGCUUUUGUUAUUUUCUUGAUGAUGAUAAUGUAAGGCAUCGCUUAAACCGUGAGUAUAGCUUUGCUAAUUGGGAAAUUUCUGGAUUAUGCAUGUGGUUUCUCAAUUAAUUCUUGCAAUUCAGAAUUUCAGUUAUAGAUUAGUUUGAGGUUUUGUGAUUGUUAACUACAGGACAAGAAGUGGAGUAUAUACUGUGGGAUCAUAACAAUUUUUUUCUCUGUUAUAUAUACCAAUAACUCAUUAGGCUUGUGUGGAUGUUUCAGAUUAUAACCUUGUUGGGUUUAGUUUCCUUGUUUUAUAUAUAUAUAUAUAACUAGAUGUGUUUUGCCUAUAUACAAUCUAUACUGUUGGAAAUGUAAGUCGAACAGUAUUAAGGAACUAAACGAGAAGUGAGUUCCUUUAGCAAAGAACAAGAUUUACUUAUUAAGGAACUAUACGAAGUAAGUGUCAAAUUUCGCUUCCUCUGCAUUAACUCUUUCUGUGCAACAAUUUUAUUGACUCUAUUGUUUUUCUAUUGUUGUCUAUGUGCAGGUUCAAGGACCAAUACUGAAAGGAAGAACUACUUUAGAAUGUUAAGCUUUAGAUACUUGAUUCAAUGACUACUACCUCCGGUUAUGUCUCAAAAAAUGUUUUUUUUUGGGUGUUAAUUUCAUAAGAUAUUAUCUCUUUUUAUAUGUAAUUGCUAAAUAACAAAAUUAAGCCAACGAACUUAUGACA